AAUGAACGCUGGCGGCGUGCCUAAUACAUGCAAGUCGAACGAAAACAUAAGGAGCUUGCGCCCCUGACGGUGGCGGCGGACGGGCGAGUAACACGUGGAUAGCCUACCUAUAAGACGGGGAUGACAACGGGAGACAAGAGCUAAUAACGGAGAAUAUAUCGAACCGGUGGGUGCAAGAGUGAAAGACGGUUUUGCUGUCAGUAAUAGCUGAAUCCGCGCCGCAUUAGCUAGUUGGUAAAGGAACGGCCUACCGAGGCAACGAUGCGUAGCCGACCUGAGGGGGUGGUCCGCCACACUGGAACUGAGACACCGUCCCGACUCCUACGGGAGGCCGCAGUAGGGAAUCUUCCGCAAUGGGCGACAGCCUGACGGAGCACCGCCGCCUGGGUGAUGAAGGUCUUCGGAUCGUAAAGCUCUUUUGUUAGGAAAGAACAAAAGCGUGAGUAACUAUGCCCGUCUUGACGGUACCUAAAGAAUAAGCACCGGCUAACUACGUG
rnacentral:rRNA from 1 species